UAUUCUUUCCACAUUACUCUGUUUACUCUCGUCGCUGUGACACUGUUCAGCUCAGGGGAAUGAGAAUGGGAUAGUUAUUUAUUUAACAAUAUUGUUUGGCCGCGCUUCUCCUGUUACUUCUCCUCCAUGUGGUUCUCUCGGGGCCUAGUAAUGGGAUAAUUAGAGUUGGGUUGGAAAAGAACAAAUUUGAUCAAAGAAAAACGCUCAAAAGAAAUAUUGAUUCAGAAGAAGCAACAUUGAGAGAGGCCAGGCCUUUUGGUGGCUAUGAAAAUUCUGAUGACAUAAGUAUUAUUCGGUUAAAGAACUACAUGAAUGCUCAGUAUUUUGGGGGAGAUUGGUAUUGGUACUCCUCAGAAAUUUACUGUAAUAUUUGACACUGGAAGUUCCAAUCUUUGGGUGCCUUCCUCCAAGUGUUACUUUUCAGUUGCUUGCUAUUUGCACUCAAGAUACAAGUCAAGCCAAUCUAGCACUCAGAAUAAAAAUGGCAUAAUCCCUCAUUCUUG